CUUUUAGGUUAAUACAUCAGCUCCUUGAAAACUCACAACAGAGUGUCAGGGAGUCAAAAGUGACUUGAAAUUUGUAUGAACCAAAAAAGAGAUUCUUCCUUUGACUACACAAGCAACAGCUGUCUAGCUUCCUGCACAGUACUGGAUCUAAUGCCUCUACAGAAAUCUAGGUCAAAACACUUGGAAUGCAUGAAUAUCAAACAGAGUUUUCAA